rnacentral:rRNA from 1 species
CAUUAACGAGUUGAACGGGGUUGUAGCUGGCCUUCACGGGCAUGUGCACACCUCACUCAUCCACUCUACACCUGUGCACUUACUGUGGGUUUCGAGAGGCCGCGCUUGCGUGGUUGAUCGGGCUCACGUCUAUUACAAACUCUUCAGUAUCAGAAUGUGUAUCGCGAUGUAACGCAUCUAUAUACAACUUUCAGCAACGGAUCUCUUGGCUCUCGCAUCGAUGAAGAACGCAGCGAAAUGCGAUAAGUAAUGUGAAUUGCAGAAUUCAGUGAAUCAUCGAAUCUUUGAACGCACCUUGCGCUCCUUGGUAUUCCGAGGAGCAUGCCUGUUUGAGUGUCGUGUAAUUCUCAACCUAUAAAUCCUUGUGGUUUUUAGGCUUGGACUUGGAGGCUUUUGCUGGCUUUACCGUCGGCUCCUCUUAAACGCAUUAGCUUGAUUCCUUGCGGAUCGGCUCUCAGUGUGAUAAUUAUCUGCGCUGUGACCGUGAAGCGUUUGGCGAGCUUCUAACCGUCUCUUCGAGACAAACACUUUGACAUCUGACCUCAAAUCAGGUAGGACUACCCGCUGAACUUAAGCAUAUCAAUAAGCGGAGGAAAAGAAACUAACAAGGAUUCCCCUAGUAACUGCGAGUGAAGCGGGAAGAGCUCAAAUUUAAAAUCUGGCGGUCUUUGGCCGUCCGAGUUGUAGUCUGGAGAAGUGCUUUCCGCGCUG